rnacentral:rRNA from 1 species
CUUGAUGUUAUUGUUGCUCCUGAGCAGAGCGCCUUCGUCCCUGGUAGACUUAUUACAGAUAAUGCUUUCAUAGCUUUUGAGUGUAUGCAUACAAUCAAACAGGAAAGGAAUCAGGAGAAUAGUUUUUGUGCUUACAAGCUGGACCUAUCAAAGGCAUAUGACAGGGUAGACUGGAAUUUCCUGGAGCGAAUGAUGCAACAGUUGGGUUUUCAUCACCGGUGGAUACAGUGGAUUAUGGCGUGUGUAACCUCGAUGAGAUAUAGUGUUAAACUAAAUGGAGCCCUCUCAGAUUCGUUCGCACCGUCGCGUGGACUUCGGCAGGGUGACCCUCUAUCCCCGUUUUUGUUUUGUUCGUAG